CUUUAAUGUAGACCAAUUUGAAAACAGGACCAAAAAUGAAGAAUCUACAUACACAGUUAGAUUUGGCAUAUCAAAGAACCCCAUUUAUUCAAUUUUUGAUGAAAUCAAACAAAGUUUAAUUUUGGACCCCGAUUUGGACCAACUUGAAAACUGGGCCAAUAAUCAAGAAUCUAAGUACAUUUUUAGAUUCAGCAUAUCAAAGAACCCAACCCAUUCAUUUUUUGUCAAAAUCAAACUAAGUUUAAUUUUGGACCCUUUGGACCUUAAUGUAGACCAAUUUGAAAACGGGACCAAAAGUUAAGAAUCUACAUACACAGUUAGAUUCGGCAUAUCAAAGAACCCCAAUUAUUCAAUUUUGAUGAAAUCAAACAAAGUUUAAUUUUGGACCCUUUGGCCCCUUAUUCUGUUGGGACCAAAACUCCCAAAAUCAAUACCAACCUUCCUUUUAUGGUCAUAAACCUUGUGUUUAAAUUUCAUAGAUUUCUAUUUACUUAUACUAACGUUAUGGUGCGAAAACCAAGAAAAAUGCUUAUUUGGGUCCCUUUUUGGCCCCUAAUUCCUUAACUGUUGGGACCUAAACUCCCAAAAUCAAUACCAUCCUUCCUUUUGUGGUCAUAAACAUUGUAUUAAAAUUUCAUUGAUUUCUAUUUACUUAAACUAAAGUUAUUGUGCAAAAACCAAGAAUAAUGCUUAUUUGGGCCCUUUUUUGGCCCCUAAUUCCUAAACUGAUGAAACCAAAACUCCCAAAAUCAAUCCCAACCUUUCUUUUGUGGUCAUAAACCUUGUGUCAAAAUUUCAUAGAUUUCUAUUAACUUAAACUAAAGUUAUAGUGCGAAAACCAAGAAAAUGCUUAUUUGGGCCCUUUUGGCCCCUAAUUCCUAAAAUGUUGGGACCAACACUCCCAAAAUCAAUACCAACCUUCAUUUUGUGGUCAUAAACCUUGUGUUAAAAUUUCAAAGAUUUCUAUUCACUUUUACUAAAGUUAGAGUGCGAAAACUAAAAGUAUUCGGACGACGACGACGACGCAGACGACGACGACGACGCCAACGUGAUAGCAAUAUACGACGAAAAUUUUUUCAAAUUUUGCGGUCGUAUAAAA
rnacentral:lncRNA from 1 species